rnacentral:rRNA from 1 species
UACCAGCACCCCGAGUGGUCGGGACGAUUAUUGGGCCUAAAGCAUCCGUAGCCGGUCCUGCAAGUCUUCCGUUAAAUCCAGCUGCUCAACAGAUGGGCUGCGGGAGAUACUACAGGGCUAGGAGGCGGGAGAGGCAAGCGGUACUCAGUGGGUAGGGGUAAAAUCCUUUGAUCCAUUGAAGACCACCAGUGGCGAAGGCGGCUUGCCAGAACGCGCUCGACGGUGAGGGAUGAAAGCUGGGGGAGCAAACCGG